rnacentral:siRNA from 1 species
UGGACUAAUCGGCCCGCCGUCC